rnacentral:Y_RNA from 1 species
GGCUGGUCCAAUGGUAGUGGGUUAUCAGAACUUAUUAAUAUUAGCGUCACUAAAGUUGGUAUACCAACCCCCCACUGCUAAAUUUGACUGGCUUAAC